CCUACGGGCGACAGCAGUGAGGAAUAUUGGUCAAUGGGAGAGAUCCUGAACCAGCCAAGCCGCGUGAGGGAAGACGGCCCUAUGGGUUGUAAACCUCUUUUGUCGGAGAACAAAACCCGGGACGUGUCCCGGACUGCGUGUAUCCGAAGAAAAAGCAUCGGCUAACUCCGUGCCAGCAGCCGCGGUAAUACGGAGGAUGCGAGCGUUAUCCGGAUCUAUUGGGUUAAAAGGGUGCGUAGGCGGUCCGUUAAGUCAGCGGUAAACUUGCGGGGCUCAACCCCGUCGAGCCGUUGAAACUGGCCGACUUGAGUUGGCGAGAAGUACGCGGAAUGCGCGGUGUAGCGGUGAAAUGCAUAGAUAUCGCGCAGAACUCCGAUUGCGAAGGCAGCGUACCGGCGCCAGACUGACGCUGAGGCACGAAAGCGUGGGGAUCGAACAGGAUUAGAUACCCCAGUAGUC
rnacentral:rRNA from 1 species